AACGCGAAGAACCUUACCAAGGCUUGACAUGGACCGGAGCUGCAGAAAUGUGGUUCCUGGGGCUGGUACAGGUGGUGCAUGGUUGGAGCGUGGUGAGAUGUUGGGUUAAGCCGCAACGAGCGCAACCCGUCAUGUUGCCAGCGGGUUAUGCCGGGGACAUGGGAGACUGCCGGGGAACGGAGGAAGGUGGGGACGACGAAAAAUGCCCCUUAUGUUGGGCUACGCAUGCUACAAUGGCCGGUACAAUGGGUUGCGAUACUGUGAGGUGGAGCUAACCAAAAAGCCGGAGUGGAUUGGGGUGCAACGACCCCAUGAAGUUGGAAGCUAGUAAGCGGAAGCAUGGCGGUGAAUACGUCCGGGUUGUACACACCG
rnacentral:rRNA from 1 species